rnacentral:rRNA from 1 species
AUACGGAGGGUCCGAGCGUUAAUCGGAAUUAUUGGGCUUAAAGGGUGCGUAGGCGGCGCGGUAAGUGAGGUGUGAAAGCCCACGGCUCAACCGUGGAAUUGCGCUUCAUACUGCCGUGCUCGAGGGAGACAGAGGUAAGCGGAACUGAUGGUGGAGCGGUGAAAUGCGUUGAUAUUAUCAGGAACACCGGUGGCGAAGGCGGCUUACUGGGUCUCUUCUGACGCUGAGGCACGAAAGCUAGGGUAGCGAACGGGAUUAGAAACCCCAGUAGUCC